ensembl:lncRNA
GGAAAUAAUCAGUAGCAGCUAGUAGGCCGGCGAUGACGACCGCCGAGCGCCACCCGAACGGGAAGGGGAGUGUCCUUCGGUCGGAGUCGCGACAGAUUUGGAGUGGAGGUUAUUUUGUGGAGGUUAUUUUGUGGAGAACAGGACUCAGUCAAGGAUAUCCAACCGAACAUCAGUCAUGCAUGGGGAACAGCCAGCGAGGAGAAUGAGCUCGAUCAUCCGUGCAGAUCCCGAGGGGGGUCGGUGGCGAGGAGGAGCUCGUGGUAAGACUUCCGCCCCACAGCUAAUCCAAGAUAGAGGUACUAUCAUGGACGCCAGCCGCAACAGCUUGCUUACAAACGGAUUUCAUAGACACGGUACAGUUGGAUCCAACAUGCAGUACCCCCAGCAGGCAGAGAGGCAAGAACCAUUUGUCCGCCAGCUUAGGGACAAGCUACUCUAUUCAUAGUCCUGUGUAAUGUCUAAUGAAUUGCAUUGCUGGACUUUUUGAAACCUAAUGUAUUUGUAUUGUUUAAAAAAAAUACAAAUAAAAUGACAUUCAUGGUUUAAA